rnacentral:rRNA from 1 species
UACGGAGGAUGCGAGCGUUAUCCGGAUUUAUUGGGUUUAAAGGGUGCGUAGGCGGACUGUCAAGUCAGCGGUAAAAUUGAGGGGCUCAACCUCUUCCCGCCGUUGAAACUGGUGGUCUUGAGUGGAUGAGAAGUACGCGGAAUGCGUGGUGUAGCGGUGAAAUGCAUAGAUAUCAUGCAGAACUCCGAUUGCGAAGGCAGCGUACCGGCAUCCAACUGACGCUGAGGCACGAAAGCGUGGGGAUCAAACAGG